AAUUAUUUAUACGGGAGUCUGUGAACAGUCUGAGAGGGAAUAUAAAUAUUUCGACCGCGCCUGAUCUAGAUAAUGCUAGCGUAGGCACACUUAGCUUAAAGACAA
rnacentral:ncRNA from 19 species